ACAAUUUGAUCCUGGUCAGAACGAACGGAGGCGGCUGGCCUUACACAUCGAACUCGAGCGGUAGCACAGAGAGCUUGCUCUCGGGUGUCGAGCGGCGGACGGGUGUGUAAUGUCUGGGAAACUGCCUGUAGGAGGGGGAUAACUACUCGAAACGGUAGCUAAUACCGCAUAAUGUCGCAAGACCAAAGUGGGGGACCUUCGGGCCUAUUGCCAUCAGAUGUGCCCAGAUGGGAUUAGCUAGUAGGUGGGGUAAGUUCUCACCUAGGCGACGAUCCCUAGCUGGUCUGAGAGGAUGACCAGCCACACUGGAACUGAGACACGGUCCAGACUCCUACGGGAGGCAGCAGUGGGGAAUGUUGCACAAUGGGCGCAAGCCUGAUGCAGCCAUGCCGCGUGUGUGAAGAAGGCCUUCGGGUUGUAAAGCACUUUCUGCGGGGAGGAAGGCGGUGAGGUUAAUAACCUCAUCGAUUGACGUUACCCGCAGAAGAAGCACCGGCUACAUCCGUGCCAGCAGCCGGGGUAAUACGGAGGGUGCAAGCGUUUGUCGGAAUUACUGGGCGUAAAGCGCACGCAGGCGGUCUGUGAAGUCGGAUGUGAAAUCCCCGGGCUCAACCUGGGAACUGCAUUCGAAACUGGCAGGCUAGAGUCUUGUAGAGGGGGGUAGAAUUCCAGGUGUAGCGGAGAAAUGCGUAGAGAUCUGGAGGAAUACCGGUGACGAAGGCGGCCCCCUGGACAAAGACUAACGCUCAGGUGCGAAAGCGUGGGGAGCAAACAGGAUUAGAUACCCUGGUAGUCCACGCCGAGAACGAUGUCGAUUUGGAGGUUGUGCCCUUGAGGCGUGGCUUCCGGAGCUAACGCGUUAAAUCGACCGCCUGGGGAGUACGGCCGCAAGGUUAAAACUCAAAUGAAUUGACGGGGGCCCGCACAAGCGGUGGAGCAUGUGGUUUAAUUCGAUGCAAGACGAAGAACCUUACCUGGUCUUGACAUCCACAGAACUUAGCAGAGAUGCUUUGGUGCCUUCGGGAACUGUGAGACAGGUGCUGCAUGGCUGGUGUCAGCUCGUGUUGUGAAAUGUUGGGUUAAGUCCCGCAACGAGCGCAACCCUUAUCCUUUGUUGGCAGCGGUUAGGCCGGGAACUCAAAGGAGACUGCCAGUGAUAAACUGGAGGAAGGUGGGGAUGACGUCAAGUCAUCAUGGCCCUUAUGACCAGGGCUACACACGUGCUAGUUUGGCAUAUACAAAGAGAAGCGACCUCGCGAGAGCAAGCGGACCUCAUAAAGUAUGUCGUAGUCCGGAUUGGAGUCUGCAACUCGACAAAAUGAAGUCGGAAUCGCUAGUAAUCGUAGAUCAGAAUGCUACGGUGAAUACGUUCCCGGGCCUUGUACACAGCGCCCGUCACACCAUGGGAGUGGGUUGCAAAAGAAGUAGGUAGCUUAACCUUCGGGAGGGCGCUUACCACUUUGUGAUUCAUGACUGGGGAAGUCGUAACAAGGUAGCCGUAGGAUCCAAU
rnacentral:rRNA from 1 species